rnacentral:tRNA from 1 species
UUGAUAAGGACGGGACUGGAACCCGCCUGCACAGGGCUACAACCUGCCACCUAAU